AUACGAAGGGGGCUAGCGUUGCUCGGAAUCACUGGGCGUAAAGCGCACGUAGGCGGACUCUUAAGUCGGUGGUGAAAUCCUGGAGCUCAACUCCGGAACUGCCUUCGAUACUGAGAGUCUCGAGUCCGGGAGAGGUGAGUGGAACUGUGAGUGUAGAGGUGAAAUUCGUAGAUAUUCGCAAGAACACCAGUGGCGAAGGCGGCUCACUGGCCCGGUACUGACGCUGAGGUGCGAAAGCGGGGGGAGCAAACAGGAUUAGAUACCCUGGUAGUCUACGCCGUAAACGAUGGAUGCUAGCCGUUGGCAGGCUUGCCUGUCAGUGGCGCAGCUAACGCAUUAAGCAUCCCGCCUGGGGAGUACGGUCGCAAGAUUAAAACUCAAAUGAAUUGACGGGG
rnacentral:rRNA from 1 species